CUGGGAUAACACCUGGAAACAGAUGCUAAUACCGGAUAACAACACUAGACGCAUGUCUAGAGUUUGAAAGAUGGUUCUGCUAUCACUCUUGGAUGGACCUGCGGUGCAUUAGCUAGUUGGUAAGGUAACGGCUUACCAAGGCAAUGAUGCAUAGCCGAGUUGAGAGACUGAUCGGCCACAUUGGGACUGAGACACGGCCCAAACUCCUACGGGAGGCAGCAGUAGGGAAUCUUCCACAAUGGACGAAAGUCUGAUGGAGCAACGCCGCGUGAGUGAAGAAGGGUUUCGGCUCGUAAAGCUCUGUUGGUAGUGAAGAAAGAUAGAGGUAGUAACUGGCCUUUAUUUGACGGUAAUUACUUAGAAAGUCACGGCUAACUACGUGCCAGCAGCCGCGGUAAUACGUAGGUGGCAAGCGUUGUCCGGAUUUAUUGGGCGUAAAGCGAGUGCAGGCGGUUCAAUAAGUCUGAUGUGAAAGCCUUCGGCUCAACCGGAGAAUUGCAUCAGAAACUGUUGAACUUGAGCGCAGAAGAGGAGAGUGGAACUCCAUGUGUAGCGGUGGAAUGCGUAGAUAUAUGGAAGAACACCAGUGGCGAAGGCGGCUCUCUGGUCUGCAACUGACGCUGAGGCUCGAAAGCAUGGGUAGCGAACAGGAUUAGAUACCCUGGUAGUCCAUGCCGUAAAC
rnacentral:rRNA from 1 species